AAACAAAGAAGUAAAAUUUUACAUUUAGUUUCGACCUAAAUUUAGAGAUAAUCUCCAUGUUUU
rnacentral:tRNA from 1 species